ACAGACAACUCCAGAAGCGCCUGCGUAGACUUGGAUCACUACUCGGCUGUAAGCACCGGCAACACCAUGAUGAAGAAAGUUGCGCUCGUACUGGUCGUCGUUCUUCUCUGCACCGAAGUGAUGCUGACGGAAGCUCAAGUGCGUCCUCCCGGAAGGUCGGGCAAUCCAGCCAAUCGCCCAAAACCGAAACCCGUGAAGUGCGGUAGAAAGACCUGUGCUCCUCAUCAGCGCUGCGAAAGACAACUGGUACCGGAGCCGACAUGUUACUGAAAUGAAACUUCUAACAAGAACGAACCAUAUUCGAUGAACAUCACCUUCAUUAACGACCAAUUUCUUAAAUAAAUGCUCACACAUGAAGAAUCGGUUAGCCUGAGAGUUUAAUUUUUAUCUGUUAACAUAACAAAACAAAUUCCAGGCAUUUAAAAAGGAAGUGUAAGCCAACUCCUAAACAAAAGCAGGAUGAAUAAACUUUAUUCAGUAGAGUGAGCCGACGGUACAGUCGUUAAGGUGGGCAGCGUUAGUCCAGGAUGCCGCGGGCCUGAGCUGAGAGCUUGGCCCUGCUCAUCAGACGUCUCUGGUCUUCAAGGCUUGACCUUGUCAGCUGGGCCUCCCAAUGCUCGAAGUUUGAUCCAGUGAUAGGUAAUACUGAUGGGUUGCGUCCACACUCCCAUACCAUAUGGUAGAGCGUAUUCGUUUCAGAGUAGAACUCGUGGUCGUUUCUGUAGCUUGCGGGUUACAUAGCGAGCAAAAGGGUACCGUGACGGAAGGAACCGGACUGAAGUUUCCGGAAAGGCACUGUCUCUGCUGCCGUAAGAAUUUCGAAAGAUAAAUCUCGAAGGAGAACGCACAGACCUCAGUUUCAUAAUUUAUUUAUUGGUGAAAACGGGAGAGCUUUGCGAUGCAUAAUUGCAAACACGAAGAUGGAGAUAAGUAGAGGGAUGUUCAUAAUUGUUCUCGGAAAAAAAUUAAGGUAAGAUAAAAAAAAGAAGCUUUCGGACUCAACUUGGCGAGCGACGUGCUAUAGCGACUGAGUCGUGUAGAAAUUAAAUAUGCAAGCAUACCUUGCGAAAACAUAAGAAAGGAAAAGUUAGAUUCUUCUGAGUUGUUGUCGUGCUUGCGAAGAGUAUUGAGAAUCCCAUGGUGUGGCAAAUGAGCGAAUGCCUAAGUCCUAAUGGAGAUGAAUCCCACUGUCAUUUCGAGGUGAACGUGCUGAAGCUGAAGCUUUCAUAUUUUGGUCAUGUCGUGCGAGUUAAUAUUUAGUUACGGAGUAAAAGCAAAUACUGUCACAUGAAGUUUAAAGUAAAAGAAAACGAGGCCGCGCAUGCGCAAGGGUCGGACACAAUUCUUUAUGCCACAGAG
rnacentral:lncRNA from 1 species